rnacentral:lncRNA from 13 species
GAGGAUUCUAAAGGGGGUCCAGCGUCUUUCCAUCUUUUGACCCUGUCAGGUCUACACCAUUUACUCCAAGUGAAAAAGAGAUAAUGGAGGAAAACGCGACCUGCAGGAGGGUGACGUUGGGGUUGACUCACUCUUCCUUUCAAUCUCAGGGGGAUUGGAUUUCGAGUAAUGCUUUUAACAAAGUUUCUGUUGAUAUUUUUCUGAAUAAAAUGGUUCAAGUGACUCUCGUGCCUCAGCUUC